UACAGAGGGUGCGAGCGUUGUCCGGAAUCACUGGGCGUAAAGGGCGCGUAGGCGGUCUCUUAAGCGUGUGGUGAAAGCCCGGGGCUCAACUCCGGGUCGGCCGUGCGAACUGGGGGACUGGAGCUUGUCAGAGGCAGGCGGAAUUCCGGGUGUAGCGGUGGAAUGCGUAGAGAUCCGGAAGAACACCGGUGGCGAAGGCGGCCUGCUGGGACAGUGCUGACACUGAGGCGCGACAGCGUGGGGAGCAAACAGG
rnacentral:rRNA from 1 species